GGCCCGGCUUUAACCUCUAGGCAGGUUGCUAGGGGCAACCAAAGGAGUUCAGUUGGGCAAUUGGUGGUGUCCAUUGGGGAAUUGGAGAAGGGAAAGGGGAGUCUCUGAGGUGAUCCACAAACAGGAGGAAAUAUGCAGCAGGAAAUAAGACCAGGCAAAGAAUUCCUUUGGAUCUCCUCAGUUGGAGGAGCUGCUGGAGGAGAUAGAGGAGGAUCUUUAUUUGUUUCUUGUGGAUAGGCAGCUGCUGGAGGCCUUGCAGGAGCUGUGAGAGGGGCUGUUCUUCAGAUGUCUUCUGUUCAGCCACACAUGUGGAUAUAGCACCUCCAUCAGCCAGAAACCUCUUUAAAGUGUAAAAUUCUAUAGGAGUUUUGGACCCUCCUCCACAUGUCAGCGCAAACUAGAUAUUGUUUUAUUUAUUCCUGCUUAGAUUGAAUUGAUGGACUAAUAUGGAUGCCUGUUUUGUUUUUAUAUUUCAUCAAUCUAAUUCUCCCCCCUUCAAUAAGGGAAGUAUCCAUAGUUAUGCCACUUUUCUGUCUUUCAUUUUUUUAAAAAUAUGAUAGAAUAAAGCAUAUGCUGUUCAGCUUAA